AGUGAACGCUGGCGGUAGGCCUAACACAUGCAAGUCGAACGGCAGCACAGUAAGAGCUUGCUCUUACGGGUGGCGAGUGGCGGACGGGUGCGGAAUACAUCGGAAUCUACUUUUUCGUGGGGGAUAACGUAGGGAAACUUACGCUAAUACCGCAGACGACCUACGGGUGAAAGCAGGGGAUCUUCGGACCUUGCGCGAGUGAAUGAGCCGAUGUCGGAUUAGCUAGUUGGCGGGGUAAAGGCCCACCAAGGCGACGAUCCGUAGCUGGUCUGAGAGGAUGAUCAGUCACACUGGAACUGAGACACGGUCCAGACUCCUACGGGAGGCAGCAGUGGGGAAUAUUGGACAAUGGGCGAAAGCCUGAUCCAGCCAUACCGCGUGGGUGAAGAAGGCCUUCGGGUUGUAAAGCCCUUUUGUUGGGAAAGAAAAGCAGCAGGUUAAUACCCCGCUGUUCUGACGGUACCCAAAGAAUAAGCACCGGCUAACUUCGUG
rnacentral:rRNA from 1 species